GUCUGGAGUCUUUGGAUGAGAAGCAUUAAAUAAUCAGAAUAACCACUGACUUUUAUCAAGAGCUUUCCAUGUGCCAGGCUGAGGACUUCACAGCCACUCUUGUUUCAUCCCACUACAACCCAGUGAAUGAGGUUAACGAACAAGAUGGAGAAAGAAACCAAGCCAAGGAGCUUCCAGCCCUGGGGUCUGGGGAAAUUUAGAAGCCAAAAGCUUGGCAGUGCUUCCUUGGAUUUUUAACCCCAAGCCUCCCAAAGGAAGCCUCCAGUAAGAUCUGCACUGCUCGCCAGUGCGUGCGUGCGUGCAUGUGUGUUUGAG